rnacentral:rRNA from 1 species
AUGCGUACCGGAGCUGCUGGCGUUGUAGAUCGAGGCACCGCGCUGCGGAUCCACCGUCGAACUCGCCGGAGACCAGCACCGCCGCGGAUCCGACCGGAGGGCGACGGGAUCCAGCACCCGCGUCUGGGCGAUGAAGCUCCAUGCGUGCGUCGACAGCAGUCGCACACGUCUCACCGGAGCAUGGUGCGGUGGUCGCGGCUAGAUGGCGCGGUGGUUGCAGGCUCGGCGACGCGCGCCGCGAUGCGGCGGGGGGAGGUCAGAGGGCGAGAGGUGAAGCCGGAGACUGGUGCGGUGGUUGCGGGCUCGGGGACGCGCGCCGCGAUGCGGCGGGGGGAGGUGGGAGGGCGAGAGGUGGCGCCGGAGACUGGUGCGGUGGUCGCGGCAAGAUGGCGAGACAUGGAUAUGGACUUUGGAGAUGCACGGAAAGAAUCCAUUGAGGGUUCAGAUGCGAUGUCGCUGAAAGGGGACGAAGAUUCACAACAUAAAAAUGUCAAAGAGGUUAUAUCUCAUAACAAACCAAAAAAGGAUGCUAAUUUACAUAUUAUCCCACAAGACUAUGUUUGUACCGCUAGGGAUAUUACAGUCAUCGAAUCAAUCAAGUCUGCCCCGAAGAAUACCCAGUUCGUAGACAUUGGAGAUGCCUUGUUAUCAACCGACGAUUUGGAAUGCCUUAUUAAAGAUGAUAUGUUCUUACAUGACGGUGUGAUAAAUGCUUACAUAUAUUGCAUGCUUGCUCACGACCAUCUACAAAUCAGGGCGGGUGAAAAGCGUAUCAUGUGGAUUGUUUACGCUAAAUUAUAUGGAAUACUGGACACCACAUGGACUGUCAGACCAGUUUACGCAGAGCUUAAUAAGUUAAAAGGAUGUCCCAUGUACCAUCAACCUCUCAACGAAGAAACUUUAGCUAAUUCUGAUCUUGAGAUCCUGGAUAAUCCAUCUGACGUGGUCGAAGAGAAACGUCCCGCCCCAAUCACUAUCAUUCCCACGGACCAACGUGAAAUACUUGCCGGCCUCUGCAACUACAUCAUGUCGAUCAAUGAUGCUGGAUGUUUGGAGAAGGUAUGGGUCCGGAGCUCCACACCCGAUCCAAUGAGCUUAAGUCUUAAGAAACUUCAGUGCAUACUUAACAUGGAGCAGCCCAUGGACAAUGAUUGCUUCAACACCGCCGUGCUUAUGCUGGCAUGUGACGAGGGAGUAUUGUUCACAGACCCUCCUAUACACUACAUGGAUCUACGAUUUUGUUCCAUGCUGCUAGAGUCAACACGAGGUCAGAAAUUUUGUGAGAAGGAAACUAUCCAGACGUUGGCAACAUUAUUUGAUAGCUGGCCUGGGAUGGAGACCGACAUCUCAUCUUGCAAUAAGAUUUAUCUUCCCUAUGCAUCCAUCGGCCGAUACAUCCUGUACAUCAUCGACAAAGAGGCACGUCGUCUAUAUAUUAUGGAUCAUAUUCAAUCAUCACAAUCGUCAGAGGAUAAAAACUUGAGGCAUUCACUGAAAUUAAAAAGUUUUUCAAGGGAUUUCAAAGAAGCACUCGAAAUAAAGCUGCCUGCGUGGAAUUUUGAUAUAUCUAAAUGGCAUCGUUUAUUUCCGGCCGGUGUUCCAACGAGUAUAGACGGGAAUGUGUCUGGCUAUUUUGUUUUUCAUUUUAUGCUCUGGUGGAACGGUAAAGAAUUGGUCAAGCCGGUUUGCGCGGAUGGAAUAUGA